ACGGAGGGAGCUAGCGUUGUUCGGAAUUACUGGGCGUAAAGCGCACGUAGGCGGCUAUUCAAGUCAGAGGUGAAAGCCCGGGGCUCAACCCCGGAACUGCCUUUGAAACUAGAUAGCUUGAAUCCAGGAGAGGUGAGUGGAAUUCCGAGUGUAGAGGUGAAAUUCGUAGAUAUUCGGAAGAACACCAGUGGCGAAGGCGGCUCACUGGACUGGUAUUGACGCUGAGGUGCGAAAGCGUGGGGAGCAAACAG
rnacentral:rRNA from 1 species